rnacentral:rRNA from 1 species
GACGAACCGAGCGAACGUUGUUCAGAAUCACUGGGCUUAAAGGGCGCGUAGGCGGGUGCUCAAGUCCGGGGUGAAAUCCUCCAGCUCAACUGGAGAACUGCCUCGGAUACUGGGUGCCUCGAGGGUGGUAGGGGUAUGCGGAACUAUCGGUGGAGCGGUGAAAUGCGUUGAUAUCGAUAGGAACUCCGGUGGCGAAGGCGGCAUACUGGACCACAUCUGACGCUGAGGCGCGAAAGCCAGGGGAGCAAACGGG